AGAAAAGUGAGGAAAGUGUGGAAGGCAAGGAACAUGCACACAGCAAGGAAUCUAAAGAAAAGAAAAAGGAACAUGAUCAUAUUAAUCAUUUUUCAGAAAAGGGAAAGAGCAAGGAAUCUGAAAGCAAAGAGAGCAAAGAAAGGAAAGAGAGCAAAGAAAAGAAAGAAAGCAAAGAAAAGAAACAUAUUAGAAAGCCUCCAGGUAUCAUAGUGUCUGCAUCAUUCAUUACAAUUAAAAUAUAGUAAUGAAUUCAUUUCGGGACAUAGAUGACCGACUACACUUUGAGCUAGAACCUAAGAGGAGAUGCCAAGUAUCAUGUAGCAUAGGAUAUCAUGAUGCAGAUCGGAUUGGCACCUCAUCCCUUAAAUAUUGUCAAGCUGUAAAAGUCAAGUACUGGCAUAGCCAAAUUCUAUUCGGUUUCGAUGAUCAAUGUAUGGCUGCAGCCAGUGCAAUCUAUAACUAUUCACACACGAAGCAUUUAUAUUUAUUUAUGUAAGA